UCAAAUUUAAAAAACUAGCCGCAGAUGCACAUGGAAUGAUAAUUACCUGUUCUUGCUCAGAAAUGUUGAUAACAACUGAAAUCCAGCUCUCUGUGCUCUUAUAUCAUGCAAACCAUUAGCACUGCUCCAAAAUUCAAUCAAAGGUUCGAUGAAAUUCUUGGAC